GACGGUGACGACGGAGAUGUCGACGUCGUGGGCGGACAGCGCGCCGAUGAAGCGGAAGAACUGGAGGAGGUGGCCCAUGCCGGCGCUCGGGACGAACACGACGUGCGGCCGUGUGUGCCCUCGCGCGCCGAGCUCACCGGAGCUGAGCACCGC
rnacentral:snoRNA from 1 species